rnacentral:rRNA from 1 species
AUUGAACGCUGGCGGCAGGCCUAACACAUGCAAGUCGAGCGGUUGAAGGGUGCUCGCUCCUGGCUUCAGCGGCGGACGGGUGAGUAAUGCCUAGGAAUCUGCCUGGUAGUGGGGGAUAACGUCCGGACACGGGCGCUAAUACCGCAUACGUGCAGAGGGAGAAAGUGGGGGAUCUUCUGCCCUCACGCUAUCAGAUGAACCUAGGUCGGAUUAGCUAGUUGGCGGGGUUGAGGCAUACCAAGGCGACGAUACGUAACUGGUCUGACAGGAUGAGCAGUCACCCGGGAAGUGAGACACGGUGCAGACUCCUACGGGGGGCAGCAGUGGGGAAUAUUGGACAAUGGGGGAAAGGCUGAUCCAGCCAUGCCGCGUGUGUGAAGAAGGUGUUCGGAUUGUAAAGCACUGUAGGUUUGGAGGAAGGGCAGUAAGUUAAUACCUUGCUGUUUUGACGUUACCAACAGAAGAAGCACCGGCUAACUUCGUG